UCCUAGCAAAUUACUCUUGAUUUUCUAGGUGGGCUUUCUUGUUUGCUCGUUUAAUCAAGAAGGGUCCGUUUGUUGAAAUAAAAAGUUGAAAUCUUGGAGAUAUGUCUUGUUGUUUGAAGGCUGGAUGCUCUGUUUAUGGGUGUUUUAGGGUUUGUUCUUCAAUUCAGACUCUUCAUUUUAAGGAGUCAUCAAAUCCCAGAGAAUGUUUAGGCAAAACCCUUCAUUUGUUAGAUCAGAAACCUGCUAUCAAUUUUGUCAAUGCUGUGAGAUGGUGGGAUAUAAUUCCACAUCAGAAUAUGAUAAGAGACUGAAUCAGCUCAAGAACUUGUUGAUUCAUUGUUGUAUGGUGGUGAGAGAUAACUUGUAUUAGGUUUCUACUACCCUGCUUGUGGAGGUUGUAGAACUUUGCAUCCAAAGAUAUGUCAAUUUACUGAAAUGAACCCUAAUUCCCCUUUUCUCCAAAUUACAAGGAAAUGUGUGAUGCCCUCAAUAUCCAAGUGCUGCCCUUCUUUAGAAGCUGCACCAAUGCAACAGUGAGGGACCACGUUUUUCGUGCUUUUUUUAGUGAUUCUGGUGCUGCCCUUCAUAAUCUGUAAACACUUUAACCAAACAUAUUGUCCAUAAUCUGUAAACACUUUAACUAAACAUAGAUUGAACAUUAUCAUGGUCCAGUGAAAUCCUAUAAUGAGUAUUACCA